GGAGCCCGACGCAGGGAUAGAUGCCCAGACCCUGAGAUCAUGACCUGAGCCGAAGGCAGCGGCUUAACCCACUGAG